CGUAUGGUGUCUGGCCACUUUUUAUCUUCUUGUAGAAGUAUAAAGAGGAAGAACUAGAUAGCGAUACGGACCAAUAUAAGGU
rfam:Vibrio rumoiensis 1S-45 1S-45_contig_10, whole genome shotgun sequence.